rfam:Oikopleura dioica, whole genome shotgun assembly, reference scaffold set, scaffold scaffold_4
AGCAGAGUGGCGCAGCGGAAGCGUGCUGGGCCCAUAACCCAGAGGUCGGAGGAUCGAAACCUCCCUCUGCUA